rnacentral:rRNA from 1 species
GCGUCAGUAGGUUGGUCGUGCCACCGGUACGUACUGGUCUCACUGAUUCCUCCUUCCUGAAGAACCGUAAUGCCAUUAAUUUGGUGUUGCGGGGAAACAGGACUGUUACUUUGAAAAAAUUAGAGUGUUUAAAGCAAGCGAACGCUUGAAUACAUUAGCAUGGAAUAAUGAAAUAGGACGAUCGAUCCUAUUUUGUUGGUUUCUAGGAUUGACGUA